rnacentral:rRNA from 1 species
GUAGGUGGCAAGCGUUGUCCGGAAUUAUUGGGCGUAAAGCGCGCGCAGGCGGUUCUUUAAGUCUGAUGUGAAAGCCCACGGCUCAACCGUGGAGGGUCAUUGGAAACUGGAGAACUUGAGUACAGAAGAGGAAAGCGGAAUUCCACGUGUAGCGGUGAAAUGCGUAGAGAUGUGGAGGAACACCAGUGGCGAAGGCGGCUUUCUGGUCUGUAACUGACGCUGAGGCGCGAAAGCGUGGGGGAGCAAACAGGAUUAGAUACCCUGGUAGUCCACGCCGUAAACGAUGAGUGCUAAGUGUUAGGGGGUUUUCCGCCCCUUAGCGCUGCAGCUAACGCAUUAAGCACUCCGCCUGGGGAGUACGGCCGCAAGGCUG